UGUUGGUGUGGUUCAAUUAGAUAACAAUCUCCACAUAAGAUUAUAGAGUUUGUUAUUUGAUUGAGCCGUGCCAAUAUC